rnacentral:lncRNA from 1 species
AAGAAAAAGUAAAUUUACUAUUGAAUCAGGGAGAAAAGUAGAAAGUUCUUACAAAAACAAAACCUAGCAACAGUUCGGUCAUCUUCUUCGUAAGCUCACAAAAAAACUUAGACAGAUGAACUCAGAAGCACCACCCCUCUACAUUCUUCAUCAACUCCUAUUAAUCAUCCAUCACUCAAGAAUAAUUACACAAUCUCUUUCUGUUUCUAAACCUAAUGGAGUCUCACAAACUCUCCAGCUCCACCACCAUUCUUGGGCUUCUAUAGUUGUAAAGGUUCACCACCACCUCCUCCACCACAGCCGCUCGCCUCAACCACCUCCAUCUCCAGUGAAGCCGUUGGAGAUGCUGCAAAUUCUAUAACUAUCCCUUGUUACCUGCAAGUUCUACUACAUUUUCAUUAAAGUAACUUGAUUAAAAUAAAAAUGUAUUAGAUAAAGGAAAAAUAAUCGGGGAAAAGAAAAACUACUUAAAUAAGGGAGAGAGAGAGAGAGAGAGAGAGAGAUUCUAAUAAGAAAUGAAAGUGACAAACAACAAUGAUCUAGAAUUGGGAUUCGAAUAAUUUUGGGUUCUUCCAACGACUUAAUCCCUGUUGUUGUCGUUGCAUUUGGCUUUGUACAAGUAGUUAUUGUACUCUUUGGAGUUUGGAAACAUCACAUUGUGGGGUUUGGCACUGAUGGUAUGAGUGUCCCAAUAUUAGUGCUUCGAGAGAACCAUGAAUGAUGUCCUAGGAGUUACAAAAAAGGAUGCCAUUAUAUGCAAAUUCAAUGGAGCUGAUAUCACCACAAUUGUAGUAGGAGAUGUGACAGUGGGCUAGUAGAAGUCGAGGAAGAAGUAUAGGAGGCUUGAAUAGUCAAAUAAAGGGCUUGCAUUGAAGGUUUUGGAGCAGGGAUGGGGAAGAGCUGAGGCGGUGGGUGGUCGACUAGGAGUGGAUGCUGCUUUAGACUGGUACUCAAUAUUAAAUCUUUCUCCAUAAUUAAAUGAAGCUUGUUUUUCUCCUUUAACUGACUAAAACAUUAU